rnacentral:rRNA from 1 species
CAAUAGCGUAUAUUAAAGUUGUUGCAGUUAAAAAGCUCGUAGUUGGAUUUCUGGUAGGAGCGACCGGUCCGCCCUGUUAAGGGUGUGUACUAGCGUUGUCUCUGGCCAUCCUUGGGGGAACUGCGCGGGGAGACUUGCGUUAGGGAACCCAUCGUUUACUGUGAAAAAAUUAGAGUGUUUAAAGCAGGCUUAUGCCGUUGAAUACAUUAGCAUGGAAUAAUAAGAUAGGACCGCGUGGUCGUCUUGUUGGUUUGCACCGCGAGGUAAUGAUUAAUAGGGAUAGUUGGGGGUAUUCGUAUUUAACUGUCAGAGGUGAAAUUCUUGGAUUUUUUAAAGACGAACAAUUGCGAAGGCAUCUACCCAGGAUGUUUUUGUUGAUCAAGAACGAAAGUUAGGGGAUCGAAGACGAUCAGAUACCGU